GAUGCAAGGAUGAGUAACUUUUGCGAAGGAGACUUUCUUACCAUGUGACAGUGAAGAAGAAGAGAUGCUACACCUAAAAAAUUAAAGUGAAGACAGAGUAUUACUAGCUUCCAGAGAGAUGGCAGAUACUAAAGGACCAUAGUGUCCUCUGCUCGGGAUUGAUGUAGUUCCUUUCCCAGCAUAUUGGAAGCGCACUUGUACAGAUUUAUCUUUUACUGUUACAUUAAACUUUUCUUUCAAAGCUUUAUCAACUCCUCCGGCUAGUCUUUUAAUAUCAAAAUCUUUGAACUUCAAUUUGUCCUGUAUGUAUAUAUCAAAUAUCCGUUUUCCAAGACU
rnacentral:misc_RNA from 1 species